rnacentral:rRNA from 1 species
GGCGGACGGGUGAGUAACGCGUAGGAAUCUACCUGGUAGUGGGGGACAACUCGGGGAAACUCGAGCUAAUACCGCAUACGCCCUACGGGGGAAAGCGGGGGACCUUCGGGCCUCGCGCUAUCAGAUGAGCCUGCGUUGGAUUAGCUAGUUGGUGGGGUAAUGGCCUACCAAGGCGACGAUCCAUAGCUGGUCUGAGAGGAUGAUCAGCCACACCGGGACUGAGACACGGCCCGGACUCCUACGGGAGGCAGCAGUGGGGAAUAUUGCGCAAUGGGCGAAAGCCUGACGCAGCCAUGCCGCGUGUGUGAAGAAGGCCUUCGGGUUGUAAAGCACUUUCAAUUGGGAGGAAAGGUUCACGGCUAAUACCCGUGAGCUAUGACGUUACCUUUAGAAGAAGCACCGGCUAACUCCGUGCCAGCAGCCGCGGUAAUACGGAGGGUGCAAGCGUUAAUCGGAAUUACUGGGCGUAAAGCGCGC